rnacentral:rRNA from 1 species
AUGAACGCUAGCUACAGGCUUAACACAUGCAAGUCGAGGGGCAUCAGGAAGAAAGCUUGCUUUCUUUGCUGGCGACCGGCGCACGGGUGAGUAACACGUAUCCAACCUGCCCUUUACUCGGGGAUAGCCUUUCGAAAGAAAGAUUAAUACCCGAUAGUAUAAUGAUUCCGCAUGGUUUCAUUAUUAAAGGAUUCCGGUAAAGGAUGGGGAUGCGUUCCAUUAGGUUGUUGGUGAGGUAACGGCCCACCAAGCCUUCGAUGGAUAGGGGUUCUGAGAGGAAGGUCCCCCACAUUGGAACUGAGACACGGUCCAAACUCCUACGGGAGGCAGCAGUGAGGAAUAUUGGUCAAUGGGCGCUAGCCUGAACCAGCCAAGUAGCGUGAAGGAUGAAGGCUCUAUGGGUCGUAAACUUCUUUUAUAUAAGAAUAAAGUGCAGUAUGUAUACUGUUUUGUAUGUAUUAUAUGAAUAAGGAUCGGCUAACUCCGUGCCAGCAGCCGCGGUAAUACGGAGGAUCCGAGCGUUAUCCGGAUUUAUUGGGUUUAAAGGGAGCGUAGGUGGACUGGUAAGUCAGUUGUGAAAGUUUGCGGCUCAACCGUAAAAUUGCAGUUGAUACUGUCAGUCUUGAGUACAGUAGAGGUGGGCGGAAUUCGUGGUGUAGCGGUGAAAUGCUUAGAUAUCACGAAGAACUCCGAUUGCGAAGGCAGCUCACUGGACUGCAACUGACACUGGUGCUCGAAAGUGUGGGUAUCAAACAGGAUUAGAUACCCUGGUAGUCCACACAGUAAACGAUGAAUACUCGCUGUUUGCGAUAUACAGUAAGCGGCCAAGCGAAAGCAUUAAGUAUUCCACCUGGGGAGUACGCCGGCAACGGUGAAACUCAAAGGAAUUGACGGGGGCCCGCACAAGCGGAGGAACAUGUGGUUUAAUUCGAUGAUACGCGAGGAACCUUACCCGGGCUUAAAUUGCAGUGGAAUGAUGUGGAAACAUGUCAGUGAGCAAUCACCGCUGUGAAGGUGCUGCAUGGUUGUCGUCAGCUCGUGCCGUGAGGUGUCGGCUUAAGUGCCAUAACGAGCGCAACCCUUAUCUUUAGUUACUAACAGGUUAUGCUGAGGACUCUAGAGAGACUGCCGUCGUAAGAUGUGAGGAAGGUGGGGAUGACGUCAAAUCAGCACGGCCCUUACGUCCGGGGCUACACACGUGUUACAAUGGGGGGUACAGAAGGCAGCUAGCGGGUGACCGUAUGCUAAUCCCAAAAGCCUCUCUCAGUUCGGAUCGAAGUCUGCAACCCGACUUCGUGAAGCUGGAUUCGCUAGUAAUCGCGCAUCAGCCACGGCGCGGUGAAUACGUUCCCGGGCCUUGUACACACCGCCCGUCAAGCCAUGGGAGCCGGGGGUACCUGAAGUACGUAACCGCAAGGAUCGUCCUAGGGUAAAACUGGUGACU